AGCCUGAGAGGUGAUGCGUACCCGUUGAGGGGAAUUCCAUGAUCCUAUGCUGCCGAGAAAAGCCUCUAGCGAGCUUUCACACGGCCCGUACCCCAAACCGACACAGGUGGUCAGGUAGAGAAUACUAAGGCGAUCGAGAUAACUGUGGUUAAGGAACUCGGCAAAAUGCCCCCGUAACUUCGGGAGAAGGGGGACCAUGUCUGGUGAUGGAAUUUACUUCCUGAGCUGGGUGUGGUCGCAGAGACCAGAGAGAAGCGACUGUUUACUAAAAACACAGGUCCGUGCGAAGUCGUAAGACGAUGUAUACGGACUGACGCCUGCCCGGUGCUGGAAGGUUAAGAGGACCGGUUAGUCACUUCGGUGGCGAAGCUGAGAAUUUAAGCCCCAGUAAACGGCGGUGGUAACUAUAACCAUCCUAAGGUAGCGAAAUUCCUUGUCGGGUAAGUUCCGACCUGCACGAAUGGCGUAACGACUUCUCUGCUGUCUCAACCACAGACUCGGCGAAAUUGCAUUACGAGUAAAGAUGCUCGUUACGCGCGGCAGGACGAAAAGACCCCGGGACCUUCACUAUAGCUUGGUAUUGGUGUUCGGUUCGGUUUGUGUAGGAUAGGUGGGAGACUGUGAAGCGGUGACGCCAGUUACUGUGGAGUCGUUGUUGAAAUACCACUCUGAUCGUAUUGGAUAUCUAACCUCGGACCAUGAUCUGGUUCAGGGACAGUGCCUGGUGGGUAGUUUAACUGGGGCGGUUGCCUCCCAAAAUGUAACGGAGGCGCCCAAAGGUUCCCUCAGCCUGGUUGGCAAUCAGGUGUUGAGUGCAAGUGCACAAGGGAGCUUGACUGUGAGACUGACA
rnacentral:rRNA from 1 species